rnacentral:lncRNA from 1 species
CGUAUAAGUAUUACUUAUACACUGCAUCCUGUGUCAUAUCGGUGCAUUUCAAACGAGGAAAAGUAUAGAUGAUGUUCUUAUUGAGAAGUGUGUUGAAUGUCUGUCUGUCUGGUGUCAUUACAUUUACAAGUUGCUGCUUUGAUUCAGGAACUCGAAAAUAUUGAUUUAAGCAGAUACCUCUGGUGUGAGUCACAUCAUGUGAUAGCAUAACAACGUCAGAUCCUUGUCGACGGUGACGGAUUUUAAACGGAGGCGCUGGACGUGACAAUAUUAUUCAAAAAAUAUUUAGAGAUAAUUGUAUAUUUGCUACUUUAUUUAAUUUUUACAUGUCGACGUUUACAGUUGUCGCACACAUUCGUUUUAACUUAUUUAAGAUUAAAUGUAUAUAAAA